GUGAGGAAUUUUCCGCAAUGGGCGAAAGCCUGACGGAGCAAUGCCGCGUGAAGGAUGAAGGCCUAUGGGUUGUAAACUUCUUUUCUCAGAAAAGAAUUAUGACGGUAUCUGAGGAAUAAGCAUCGGCUAACUCUGUGCCAGCAGCCGCGGUAAGACAGAGGAUGAAAGCGUUAUCCGGAAUGAUUGGGCGUAAAGCGUCUGUAGGUUGUUUAAAAAGUAUUCUGUCAAAGAUUAGGGCUUAACCCUAGAUAGGCAGAAUAAACUUUUAAGCUAGAGUUUGGUAGAGGCAGAGGGAAUUCCCGGUGGAGCGGUGAAAUGCGUAGAUAUCGGGAGGAACACCAAAGGCGAAGGCACUCUGCUGGGCCAAUACUAACACUGAGAGACGAAAGCGAGGGGAGCAAAUGGGAUUAGAAACCCCGGUAGUCC
rnacentral:rRNA from 1 species